GGAGCUCCAUCCAAUCAGUGGCACUGGUGUAGGAACCGCCCGAUCAGGCGCGCAGUUGGAGAGGAGGGCGUGGCUUCCGGCAUUUGGCGGGGUCUUUGUCUCUCGCUCCCGCCAGAGCUUGGGAUCGGUCUUCACUGUUCCGCGUCCUCUACCUGGGAACCACCGACCCCCGCCCGGCGACUUUGUCACAGACUCUGUUGCCCUGUGAUCUGCAGGUCCUGGGAGACGCACAGCCAAGAUGCCAGGGCACCCUGGAAGCUGUGAAGUGGUCAGAUGCAUAAUCUCAUCCCUGAACAUCCUGCUGGUGCGAUUAUGACAUAUGAUUUUACCCAGCACCAGAGGGAUUUGAUGCUCCUGCCUGGGCCCAACUCACAGAAGGGAUUGUGACAUAUCACUGGACCCAGCACUGAGGUGGUGUGAAUCUUCUGCCUUGGUUCUUCCACAGGGGACAUUGUGUAAUAUCGUUGGGCCUCACACGUACGUUAUGUGACUCUCCUGCGUGUGCCCUGUCCAUGUGGGCCAUUGUGACAUAUUGCUGGGUCCAACAACUGGUUGAUGUAGCUCUACUGCCUAGGUCCUGCCUAUGGAGGACUUUGUGAUGUAUCCCUGAACCCAUCACACAGGUUCUGCCCUCAGAGGACAUUGUGACAUGUCACUGGGCCUAAUACUAAGAUGACAUCAUUCUUUAGUUUUGGCACUGCCCUCAGAAGCCGUGGUGGUGUAUUGCUGGGCCCAGAGCCAAUGUGAUGUGAGUCUCCUGCCUGGAUCCUGCCUACAAGGUGAGAGAGAGUGACUUAUUACUGAGUUUAGCAUACACAUGAUGUGAUUUUCCUCCACUCACAGAAGUCAUUGUGACAUAUAUCUUGGCCCAUCACUGAGAUUGUGACUGUCUUUUUCCUGGGACCUGUCCACAGUGGAGAGUAUGACACUUUUUGGCCAAGCACCUACAAGAUACGACUCUCUUCUUACACCUGGGCCACUGGGGUGAUUUUGACAUGUAGUUGGCCCCAGCUCCAAGAUUAUGUGACUCCACACUUCUUCCUGAGCCCUACCUACAGGUAGCAUUGUGUCAUAUCUGUGAGACCCUCAAUUAGGUGAAAUGACUCUUUGUUUGGGCCCUCUUCUCAAGGUACCGUGACAUUGCUGGGCCCAGCAUCUAGGUGAUGUAACUCUACUGUACUGUUUGGUUUCUGCCUAAAAAGGGAUUGUGACAUACCACUCUAUCAAGAACCUAGGUGAGGUGA
rnacentral:lncRNA from 10 species